AGAGAGAGACAUGCGCGCAUAUCAAUAAGCGGAGGAAAAGGUACCUACGCUUAGGAUGUUGACGAGACUGUCGAUCUCAUCUAUACAUGACUCUGUGCAUAUCAAUAAGCGGAGGAAAAGAAACUAACUAGGAUUCCCUCAGUAACGGCGAGUGAAGCGGGAAGAGCUCAAAUUUGAAAUCUUCAAGGUUCUACCUUGACGAAUUGUAGUUUAAAGAAGUGUUUUCUGUUGGAGUUUUCGGUAAAAGUUCUUUGGAAUAGGACAUCAUAGAGGGUGAGAAUCCCGUAUUUGACCAUUAUUUCCAGCUUUGUGAUACACUUUCAAAGAGUCGGAUUGUUUGGGAAUGCAGUCCAAAAUGGGUGGUAAAUUUCAUCUAAAGCUAAAUAUUGGCGAGAGACCGAUAGCGAACAAGUACCGUGAGGGAAAGAUGAAAAGAACUUUGAAAAGAGAGUUAAACAGUACGUGAAAUUGUCAAAAGGGAAGCGUUUGACACCAGUGUUGUUUUCUCGAAAAUCAAUUAAAAAAGGCAGGAUUUUGUGUUGUAUUGACUUUAUCAGCUUUCUGCACUCUUUUCUUGUCUUUUUUAAUGCACUUUUCGUUUAACAAGUCAACAUCAAUUUCUUUUGUUGUAAAAGGGUCAUUGGAAGGUGGCUUUCUUUUCGGAGAAAGCGUUUAUAGCCUUUGGCCUCUGCAAUCGGAGAGAUUGAGGUCUGCAGCGUAGAUCCUUCGGGGUUAGAUACAUUUGUGCUAAGUUAUAGCCUUUCAUAGACAACUUGUUGACUAUGAUCAGUCAUGUAGCUUACUCGCUUAUGCUAUUUUACCUACGCUUAGGAUGUUGAUGUGAUACUGCGAGCA
rnacentral:rRNA from 1 species